CUAGAUUCUCACAGAUGUAGACUUAAAUCAUUUCUACGGUUGUUUAGUCCAUGGAGGCUCUGAGUCCAGGAAGUGACGGCGUCAUUUCUAGGUUCAAUCAAGCAAAGAAAGGCACACGGUUAUGACCACAACUAUGUCAUUGCAGAGUAAGGAUUUUUAUAGUGCAUCUAAAUAUGAAGAGGCAUCUCUGUGCAAACGCUUUGAUAAAGUAGCUGUUGUUCUACAGUGAUGCAUGGAUCGGUGUCUGGAGACCUCACCAGGAAAACAGCUAAAAAUCUACAGUCGGUUGGAGUGUGCCAGCAGCUGGAAUGGCAUUAAGCCACUUCUGUUACCUUGGAUGACUGGGCUUCAUUCACUGGAUCCGAUGACAGAAACGGCACAGAAGAGAUAAAGUCAUCUGCCUUCUCUUCCAGGCUGAGGACAGACAAUAAACUGAAUGAGCACUCUCAUGAACAAAUGCGCUUCCAGUCUUUUUUCUUGACUGAAUCUUCAAGCUGCUAUAUAUGUUAAAACAAUGGUGGCUGUAGCUGUGGAUGAAAAUGUUCUCAUACCUCUUUCCUGACCGAAACAAAAAAAGUAUUCAGAUCUUUUCAAUAGUGAUGGAGCAUAUCUGAAAAGAGCUCUGGACACAAGCCUUUUGAUUUUAAGCACUGGAAAUGAGGAAAGGACAUUGAAAAAAAACGUCUCAAGCUAUUCAUUAGUGUUCAUUCAAAGGAAAUCACACAGGAAAUCACAUUGUUCACCCUUGAAUGAAACCUUCUGAACACCUCUUAUGACGUGUUUGAGGAAAUGACUUGGGGUCACUUUGUGAUUACUGUUAAAUUAUGGGUUUGAGUGUGUGUACACACUCUGGACGGCUUCCCACCAGAACAGAGCAGCCUUCCAGAGAGUCCUGACAAAAUGCGUACCAUUGUAAAGGUACUAAUUAUUUAAACAUUUGGCAGAUGAUUUUGCCAGUGUGUGUUUUCCCUGUGAAUAAAACCCAUCAUUUUGGUGUCUGAAAAUUGAGUAUCUGAUGUAGGCAUCAUAGUGAAUUAUAAUUUAAUCUUUGGUUCCUUUCCAUAUUACCUCAUUUUCAUACUGUAUAUAAUUUCAACCAUCAGUCACAUGAUGUUUAUUUGA